rnacentral:rRNA from 1 species
AGCUCUCUUCGGAGAGUGCAUAGAGUGGCGCACGGGGUGAGUAACACGUAAGUAAUCUACCCUCGAGUGGGGAAUAACGUUCGGAAACGAACGCUAAUACCGCAUAAUGCAGCGGCACCGCAAGGUGACAGUUGUUAAAGGAGUAAUUCGCUUGAGGAGGAGCUUGCGGCAGAUUAGCUUGUUGGUAAGGUAACGGCUUACCAAGGCUACGAUCUGUAACCGGUCUUAGAGGACGGUCGGUCACACUGACACUGAAUAACGGGUCAGACUCCUACGGGAGGCAGCAGUCGGGAAUUUUGGGCAAUGGGCGAAAGCCUGACCCAGCAACGCCGCGUGAAGGAUGAAGUAUUUCGGUAUGUAAACUUCGAAAGAAUAGGAAGAAUAAAUGACGGUACUAUUUAUAAGGUCCAGCUAACUACGUGCCAGCAGCCGCGGUAAUACGUAGGGACCAAGCGUUGUUCGGAUUUACUGGGCGUAAAGGGCGCGUAGGCGGUGCGGUAAGUCACUUGUGAAAUCUCUGAGCUUAACUCAGAACGGCCAAGUGAUACUGCAGUACUAGAGUGCAGAAGGGGCAAUCGGAAUUCUUGGUGUAGCGGUGAAAUGCGUAGAUAUCAAGAGGAGCACCUGAGGUGAAGACGGGUUGCUGGGCUGACACUGACGCUGAGGCGCGAAAGCCAGGGGAGCAAACGGGAUUAGAUACCCCGGUAGUCCUGGCCCUAAACGAUGAAUACUUGGUGUCUGGAGUCUUUAAUGCUCCGGGUGCCGUCGCUAACGUUUUAAGUAUUCCGCCUGGGGAGUACGCUCGCAAGGCU